UGCAGGGGAGAGAGAAGGGGAGAGGCAACUAUGGAGACAAUCAUCACAAUAUGGGUGCUAAGUGCUUUCGAGGGAACGACAAAGUGCUCUGGGAGCGCAGAGCAGCAGGGCCAUUCAUUCUUCCGCUGCUGGAAGAGUUUGGGAAACUGCGUGGGGUAGGAGGGGGGUGUUGGCUGGGUCUGGUGGGCUUGGCGGUAAGGGGAUGGAGGAAAGGACAACCUCAUGCGGAGAGGAGCAUGUGCAAAGACAGGGGGUGAAGGAGAAAACCUUGAUACAGUGUAGCAGAUGGGGAGGCAGGAGGAUCGCCGGACAGCAAGCUGCAGGCCAGAAUCAGAAAAGCCAUGAAUGAUCGUCAGGAGAGCGGCUGGACCCAGUCCAGCCGUGGGCAGAGGGGAGCCAUUGAAGAAUUUUAAGCAGGGGCUGAGUUCCCCUGGGGAGGAGGGCUGCAUCCUUCUUCCUCUGGUCGGCUAAGGGCUUCUGCAUUCAUAGAGCUGAACCUACAAGGUCUGACUGACAAGAACGGCUCCAACGACUCAGAGUCCUGCUGUGAGCCUGAGCUAGUGACUUCUCUCUACUCAGUCCACAAGCGCCAUAGAGUGGUUUCAGCCUUGGUUCUAUCUCUCCCUAGCUGCCAUAUUACCCACUAGGGAUGUCUCCAGACCCAGCUGAGAUCCUGUAGCAGAGUAAUGGUGGGCCUUCAUCUACUGACAUCAGGACUGGCUAAGGUGACGCCAGGAUUCCCACAGCCCUGGUAUCUCAUGUGCUACUCUCUAGAGAGCAAGGCGUCAGAGCCUCGACUGGAAGGUACAAGGGACUGCCUGCUGCCUGCUGUGUGAACACAUCUGCACUCACACACACUAUUUAUCCACGGCAUUGGCUGCUGCAUGGUGGUGGGCCCUAUGUUCAGGGCAAAGGUUGUCAUUCAUAGAGGUCACACUUCUCUAUGCUCAUGGGCAUGCCUCUCUAAAUCCUUUGUACAUGACCCUUGUCCCAAGAAGUUGCUAGGGAAGGAUUGGAAGAACAAGCAUGAAAUAACUGAAGGAUGAAAAUGAGGAGGUGGGGCUGAGAACAAGCAGGGUGUCCCAAUUUUUUUCUCCUGGGUCAGACUCAUACUGCAGCCAGUUCCAAAGCUGGAGGAGGUGGUGGCUGUCCCUAUGGAAGAAUCUGUCUCCCAGCUGCCUGGGUAUCCACAUAUCCACGUGGCUGGCCUCUCGGAGCAGGAUGCUUUUUCUGCAUCCCUCCCUGCUCAGGACGACAUAGAAAGGAUGUGAUAAGGUUGAUUAAUUGCUUUUAAGAAGUUCUUUGGGAGGAAGGGAGCCGUGGGGUCUGGGGGGCAGAGGGGCAUCCCUGCCGUGGCGGCAGUGAAGUCUUCCUGGCUGCAAUGGGGAUGCAAAGGGCAGGGCUGUGGCAGCAGCAGGCACAGGAAAGCGGCAGGCAGCAGCGAGAAAGGACAUAGGAGAGGAUUCAAGGAAUAGCUGCAGGAGUGCCCCUGCUUCUACACUGCUUCCCAAAGGAACAAUAGCAUUUGGUUAUCCAGAGGUGGCAGGUGGUAAGGUCCAGAAUGCUUGGCCUAGUGCCUGACACAAUAGGGCAAAGAAAUGCACCCCCAGCAUGGACGAGCCCCACCCCCAAGCUGCUCUUCUUCCUUUGGAGACCUGAGCCCCAGAAGAUCCUCUUUCCUCAUUUUUGGGGACCUUACGUCUACUUAUUUAUGAGGGAUCCUUCUCUUUCACACCCAGUUCUUAAGAGCUCCUAUAAUCCCAGUGAAGCCCCGUCUAUGUUCUGAAAUUUAACUGUAUCUUUCCCUGGCCUCAGCCUCUCCACCCCAUCCAGAGGCGUGGCCUGGGACCACUGCCUGGAAACGGGCUGACACGCUUGGCGCCCCAAGGAACCCAAGGGUACUGGCCAAGGUCCUGAAAAGUCCUAGCUCUUCCCUCGCAGCGCUGUGUGCAAUCUCGUCUCAUCCCACCUGACCUGUACACCCCAGCUCCAAAUUCAGGGCUUGCUCCUGCCUGAAACCGUCUCAGUCUUAGGGUUUGUCAAAGCCAGGAGAGCCACUCUCCCCCCGCCCCCCACCCCCCGCCGAAGCAGCAGCCUCCACGCCUCUCUUCCUGUCCUUACCACAGGCUCUGUCUGUUCUACCAGCCCCAUCAAGGACAGCCCCCUGAAAUGUGACCAUGGCAGCAGCUGGCAGGGCCCGAGGCUGCACUUGACAUCCUGAUCUAACCAUAUUCUCAGAGAGGAAGCAGGUUGGAAGUUCCGCAUGCUUGCACACACCUGCACAUACCAUGCACACACUCAAGCUCCCAAUGUCAGCCUGGAGCACAGAAGUGGUUCUUAGAGUCAAUAAACAUCUCUGGUUGUAAUGUCUCCAGUAAAAAAAAAAAAAAGCAUACACACAUAGACCCUUCUUUGAGGGAUGGGGUUGUGUUGGUCCUUCUCCUGGUUCCUGCCCUCAGCUGUAACCUUUCUCCAGGGGUUGGGGCUCCUCUAAGAAGUGAUUCUCAGGCAGGUGGGGAUUUGACUGAAUCAAAGUAUGCUUUUUAAAACCCAGUUAUUCUUAAAGGUGUGUUUUAUGUUUUAAUUAUAUGUAGUGUAUGUGUGUGUGUGCUCGCACACAUAUGCACACAUUCCCCAAAAGCCUAGGAAAGGGUGUUCUAUCCCCCUGGAGCUGAAGCUACAGGCAACUUGCGAUGCCUGAUGUAGGUGCUAGGAGCAACGCUUGGAUCCUCUGCAAAAGCAGUAUAUGCUUUUAAUCACAGAGAUACCUCGCUGGCCUUAUGUAAACUGAGUUUUGAGGACUCUUCAGUAACUCUACUGUGUGGCUGGGCCAAGGUACAAGUGGGACCAUAGACAUAUUUAAGGUUACCUCUAGUUGUCAAUCUCAAGAAUCAAGCACUGUCUUCUUUAAAAAAAAAAAAAAAAGAGAGAAAUAGGUUUCUUUUUAUUUUGUUUUAAAUCUAUGUGAAUGUAUAUGAACCUGCAUAAGUACAUGUGCAUAUACACAUAGAGCAGCCUGAGGGGACAAGAAGGCAGCAUUGGAUCCUCUGGAACUGAAAUUGAAGGCUGCUGUGAGCACGUAUGAAUGCUGAGAACGGAACCUUGGUCCUUUACAAGACCAUCAUGUGCUAACUGUUGGGCCAUCUUUCCAGCCCAAGAACUUCUGUCUCUCACAGGCCUCUUGGCAACCAGUGCAAUCCAGGUUUGUCUGCCCUGUCUUGUGUUCUUGAACCAGGACAGGUAGGCCCCGGCUCCUGACGACUGUCUGUCAUUGCACACUCUAGUCAGGUGUAUUCACAGUGUGCAACAAGAAUGUAAACAGAGAAACAGGGCCAUCCCUGAUCAAGUCUUCCUGUGACUGCUUUAAAUUCAGUACACAGACUUGUAGACUAUCUACAUUCAUGCCCUGACAUACAAGUCACACAUACAGGUCAAGCCAUACACCAAUCAUGCAGGAGCAUACUAAACCAGAAAUCAUAAAAGCAGAGUAGAAUUCCAGGAAUUGCGGGCAUGGGUAUGCAUUCAUAUAAUCACAAAACCACGUAACACAUGCACACAAAUAUGCAUACUCUAACACAUAGCUCUCCUUCCCCUUCCCCACCUCCUAGGGAACUUUCCUGAUUCACAGAGCUCUCCCUUGCUCUCUGCUCUCUGUAGUAUGCUCUCCCUCCUCCAUGUCCCUUUGCAGAUGGCUCUUUGUGACAGAAUCACUCUUUUCCUCCUUGCUUCACCCAGUGGAUUUCUAGUGAGCCUCUGGAUUCAUUUUUGAAGACUGGCAUAACAAGUUACCAUGACCAGGUAAUUUAUUUGCUGACAGUUCUAGAGGCCAGAACCCCGAAGACAUGUGAGCAGGAUAUAUUCCUUUCUGAGGCCUUGGAGAAAGGGUCUGUUCCAUGCUCCCAAGUCUCAGGAAAGUUCUAGCUCCUGAAGUGCACAGGGCAAGGCAGGGACAGAUCGCCAGAGGCCCAUGGCCUUCGGGGGUUUCUGGAGACUGCAGUAUAGAGUGUCCUCAGGUGGUGGACUACCAUUGCAGUCUUACUUCUCUGGUCAUGUGGUGUUCUUGCCACUCUGUGUCUGUGACCAAAUGUCUUUCCAGAAGGACACUGGUUGCUGGAUUAGGAUAAUCCCUCAUCCAGCAUGACUUCCUCUUAAGUUGAUGUUAUUUGUAAAGGUCUAACUUCUAAAUAAGGUCACAGUUACAGGUGUGAGGAGUCAGGACUUGAACAUGACUUUGGGGUGUGGGGUGGGUAGUUCAAUCUCUUAACAGACUCCAAGUCUUAGUCAAGUUUUCCUUUCUUCACUGUCCCUUCCCUGAUCUGUCUCCCUAGACUAACUAAGCUGUGCCCCUGCCCUGUACUCUCUAAUCAUGGUACUUCAUUGCUUUACCAUGGUGGAAGCUGUUAUUUUUUAGACAGGAUUUUGGUAUGUAGCUCAGGCUAGCCUCAGAUUCAUGAUCCUCCUUAUUCUAGCACCCUAGGGAUGAAAUCAUAGACACAUGUUGCCCUUGUUGUUAUUGCUCCUGUCAUGGUCUCUUUCCUAGCUCUGGGGUGAGGCAGGUUAUAGUUAUAGUUAAUGUAUUCUUAAUAUCUGGCGAAUCACAUUAUAUAGAGACAUGGUACAAGUAUGUGAAGCAUUUUAAUGUACAUGGGCACACAUACCCUAUGUCUAUGGCAGACAUGUAUAUCAUCUAUACACAUGGACACAAGUAAACUUAUACAUAUGCGCAUGCCAGUCCUUGAACACGGUCUAAAGCAGUGGUUCUCAACCUUCCUAAUGUUCUGACUCUUUAAAACAGUUCCUCAUGUUGUGGUGACUCCAAAAAUAAAAAUAUUUCAUUGCUACUUCAUAAUGGUACAUUUGCUACUGUUAUCAGUCAUAAUGAUAUGAGACUCUAUGGGGGUCGAGACCCACAGGUUGAGAACCACUGAUCUAGCGCUCUACAAGAGUUCAGUAAUGGCUGAGCUCCAAGAAUGCACAGCCCUUCACUAAGUGUACUAGGAGAGACAAAGAGGGGUCACUGUCAGUCUCCUGUCCUCAAGAGGCUGAUGAGCCAGCUGGAGAAACAAGAUAUAUGACAGGAGAUCUUUACAGUCCAGUUCUAGUCUGCAAGCCACGAGGGCCAGAGGCUGGAGCUCUUUCUGGCUGGAGCAAUCAGGAUUGCCAAAGAAAGGGAUGAAGACCAUUCACCAUCCUAUGUCCUCAGACUGUGGGGACAUGUUCAGAGCUCACGCACCUUGCAGAAGGAUAGGGAUAUGCCCAAUGACUGGUCCCAUGAAUUAAAUUGACCCAUUGUUUUACAGGCUUUCCCAGGGAGUGAUAGGUGACAAGCUGGCAAAAAGCCUUUGUGAUACCUUUGUUGGCAAAGCACCCUCUGCCAGCUUCCAAUGACAAAGAAAUGGCUAAAGGAUGGGUAGAAAGCCCAAUAGAUGCUGCCCAUCCCCAAUGUGAUGCUUAAGGGAACAUCACAAGUUCCCUUAAGAUGGGCUUCAAGGAACCCAGACCUCUGUUACUGUAACUUUCUGCUCUCAGAACCCUGGCAGUGGCUGUGCUCAGCCGAGGCUCUGGGGACCUAGGGACAUUGGCAGUAACAGGUGUGUGUGUGUGUGUGUGUGUGUGUGUGUGUGUGCAUCCUAACAGUCAUGCCCAUGAAAUGUUGUGUAACCCCAGAGCUCCAAGGCAGGCAGAUUUCCAUUCAAACCUUCGUUCUACUCUUUUCUUACUGUUUUCUUAGGCAAGUAUUUAACCCCUCCAAGUUUCCAUUUUCUCCUCCGGAAUAAUUGUAACGCUGUCCAUAAAGGAUACACAGUGUGGGUGACUCUAGUCUAGGCAGGCACUGUAUGUGACAGUCUAAGUUCUCCAGUUCUAAAUGCUUUCAUAUUUCUGGCUGAAGCAAAACCAGAGCCCAGGAUAUCCAAUCUCAACCCAAGCAGAAAAACCUCUCCUGAAGAUGAGCCGCUCAGUGUACAGCCUAAGGCCUUUCUUUCCCCUGCUCUUUCUAGGAAGCAGAGCAGUGACCUCAAAACUCUCUCCCUGCAGGUGACCAACACAGUGUGGAGUGACAAAAGUCUGUUACUUAUCCGACUCAGGCUGUGGGGGAGGGGUGGUGGUGGAGAAGGAGAGCUUUUGUGUUCUGUUUUGUUAGA